rnacentral:rRNA from 1 species
GUUGUAUGGUUAAGUGACUAAGCGUACACGGUGGAUGCCUUGGCAGUCAGAGGCGAUGAAAGACGUAGUAACUUGCGAUAAGCCCAGAUUAGGUAGUAACAACCAUUUGAGUCUGGGAUUUCUGAAUGGGGAAACCCACGUGCAUAAGCACGUAUCCUUACCUGAAUACAUAGGGUAAGGAGGCGAACCGGGGGAACUGAAACAUCUAAGUACCCCGAGGAAAAGAAAUCAACCGAGAUUCCGAAAGUAGCGGCGAGCGAAAUUGGACUAGCCCUUAAGCUUUACACGCGUUAGACGAACGGUCUGGAAAGUCCGACGAUACAGGGUGAUAGUCCCGUAGUUGACGACGUGUGUUCAGUGAAAUCGAGUAGGGCGGGACACGUGAUAUCCUGUCUGAAUAUGGGGGGACCAUCCUCCAAGGCUAAAUACUACUGACUGACCGAUAGUGAACCAGUACCGUGAGGGAAAGGCGAAAAGAACCCCUGUGAGGGGAGUGAAAUAGAACCUGAAACCGUGUACGUACAAGCAGUAGGAGCAGGCUUUGUCCUGUGACUGCGUACCUUUUGUAUAAUGGGUCAGCGACUUAUAUUCAGUGGCAAGGUUAACCAUCUAGGGGAGCCGUAGGGAAACCGAGUCUUAACUGGGCGUUCAGUCUCUGGAUAUAGACCCGAAACCAGGUGAUCUAGCCAUGGGCAGGUUGAAGGUUGAGUAACAUCAACUGGAGGACCGAACCGACUAAUGUUGAAAAAUUAGCGGAUGACUUGUGGCUAGGGGUGAAAGGCCAAUCAAACCUGGAGAUAGCUGGUUCUCCCCGAAAGCUAUUUAGGUAGCGCCUCGGACGAAUACUACUGGGGGUAGAGCACUGUUAAGGCUAGGGGGUCAUCCCGACUUACCAACCCUUUGCAAACUCCGAAUACCAGUAAGUACUAUCCGGGAGACACACGGCGGGUGCUAACGUCCGUCGUGGAGAGGGAAACAACCCAGACCGCCAGCUAAGGUCCCAAAUUACUACUAAGUGGGAAACGAUGUGGGAAGGCUCAGACAGCCAGGAUGUUGGCUUAGAAGCAGCCAUCAUUUAAAGAAAGCGUAAUAGCUCACUGGUCGAGUCGGCCUGCGCGGAAGAUGUAACGGGGCUAAGUAGUAAACCGAAGCUGCGGCAAUAUACUUUUGUAUAUUGGGUAGGGGAGCGUUCUGUAAGCGGUUGAAGGUGUGUGGUAACGCAUGCUGGACGUAUCAGAAGUGCGAAUGCUGACAUGAGUAACGAUAAAGGGGGUGAAAAACCUCCUCGCCGGAAGACCAAGGGUUCCUGUCCAACGUUAAUCGGGGCAGGGUAAGUCGACCCCUAAGGCGAGGCCGAAAGGCGUAGUCGAUGGGAAACGGGUUAAUAUUCCCGUACUUCUUACAAUUGCGAUGGGGGGACGGAGAAGGCUAGGUGGGCCUGGCGACGGUUGUCCAGGUUCAAGUGCGUAGGCUUAAGAGUUAGGUAAAUCCGGCUCUUUUUAAGGCUGAGACACGACGUCGAGCACCUAAGGGUGUGAAGUCAUUGAUGCCAUGCUUCCAGGAAAAGCCUCUAAGCUUCAGAUUGUAAGGAAUCGUACCCCAAACCGACACAGGUGGUCGGGUAGAGAAUACCAAGGCGCUUGAGAGAACUCGGGUGAAGGAACUAGGCAAAAUGGUACCGUAACUUCGGGAGAAGGUACGCUCUCGACGGUGAAGUCCCUCGCGGAUGGAGCUAUUGAGAGUCGCAGAUACCAGGUGGCUGCAACUGUUUAUUAAAAACACAGCACUGUGCAAAAUCGUAAGAUGACGUAUACGGUGUGACGCCUGCCCGGUGCCGGAAGGUUAAUUGAUGGGGUUAGACUUCGGUCGAAGCUCUUGAUCGAAGCCCCGGUAAACGGCGGCCGUAACUAUAACGGUCCUAAGGUAGCGAAAUUCCUUGUCGGGUAAGUUCCGACCUGCACGAAUGGCGUAAUGAUGGCCACGCUGUCUCCACCCGAGACUCAGUGAAAUUGAAAUCGCUGUGAAGAUGCAGUGUACCCGCGGCUAGACGGAAAGACCCCGUGAACCUUUACUACAGCUUGGCACUGAACAUUGACCCUACAUGUGUAGGAUAGGUGGGAGGCUUUGAAGCA